CCCCUAAGGCGAGGCCGAAAGGCGUAGUCGAUGGGAAACAGGUUAAUAUUCCUGUACUCGGUGUUACUGCGAAGGGGGGACGGAGAAGGCUAUAUCAGCCGGGCGACGGUUGUCCCGGUUUAAGCGUGUAGGCGGAGUGUCCAGGUAAAUCCGGACGCUUGUUAACGCUGAGGCGUGACGACGAGGCACUACGGUGCUGAAGUGAUAAAUGCCCAGCUUCCAGGAAAAGCCUCUAAGCAUCAGGUAACACAGAAUCGUACCCCAAACCGACACAGGUGGUCAGGUAGAGAAUACCAAGGCGCUUGAGAG
rnacentral:ncRNA from 1 species